UCCGCAAACCGGUCGCAACCUCUCUCCGCAGGAGGUGCGCAUGCGCUCCUGGCUGGCUCCUCCGGCCCGGAGUCCCCCCCCAAGCCUGGCGAUGGCGACAACGCACUGUGCCGGGACUCCCGCCACUAGGCCCCGCGCCCCGCGCAGGCCCCGGUCUCCUCCCGUCCGCCCAUCCCCCCAGCGGUCCCGCUCACCCUAGGACGAGAGCUUCGGGGCCCGGUGCCAGACUCGCCGAAUCUAAGCUCCGGUCGGUACCAGGAAAUGCCAGGGCCACGCCACGCCCCUGGGAAAGUCCCCGGAGACCGACGGGCCGUCUGUCCAAUAGCGCUGGGCGCUGGGCGCCGGGGCGGGGUCUGCGAUGUAAACAGCCGCAGUGGCUCCUCUGGGUGGAGCAGCUGAGUGCUCAAGCCGAGGGGGCCUCAGGGCAAGGACACCGCUUGAGGAGAAAAAAGGACAAUGACACCAGGGAAAUUCCCAGCUCGUCACAUACUGGCCCUGCCAGGCCCCUCCCACAGACUCUAGGAGUCCUGGGUCUCUCCUCCAGCUUUCUUUCCCUCUGGUCUGCCUGAUUCCAGGUCAUCGUAUCAAGCUGGCUCUAGACUGGGAUCCUAGCUUGCUCCUCGUCAUCUUCCUGGAAGUGAGAAGAGAUUAGCCCCUAAGGGAGGCAGACCCAGAGGACCAGAACAUUUCCCAACCCUGGGAAGCCCUAGCAGGCCCCAAGAACAUUUCCCUCUUGAUCUACCCUAAACCUUCUAAUGUCUUCUAGGAUCUUACCACAUUCCUCCCUCAUUCUGCAGCCCAGAAGUCACUGUUAAAAGUCAGACCCAGUCUCUGGCCCAUACCUCCUUUAGCCAGGACUUCCCUAGGCUGGCCCUCUGGCCAGCUUCGGAAAAACUGGACUGCUUGUGAUCAAAAAAGAAGUCACCACCAUCUGCCAGCCUUUGGCCCACUCCCAGAGCCUCAAGUUCUCGGUGAAAGGUUCACCCUCAGAAGAGCCUGUAGGCCUCGGAGCAAAGAAGUCCGGAGACGGAGGAGGGGCUCAACAGCUAUUAUGGCCCCUAGGGAGCAAGACCGGUUUCCAGCUACCCUCCUUGUUUGGGUUUAGACUUCCAAACUGCCCAGCUCAUCCCACACCAUCCCCCUCAGAAUGCACAUUCACACAGAGACAGACACCCAGACCAUCCACAAAUAUAAACACUCCCGUGGACCAAUAUGUACCUGCUCCUGUGAGCCUGACACAGAUGCAAACGUGUCCUCUCGCACACAGAAAAAUAUGUGAAUGAGAGUGAACGAGAAAGAGAAAAGUCUCUCUCACCCCUUAGUACAGAAAGAAGUCUUUCUUUUCUUCCCUUUGGAAGAGUUGCAGACAUUUGGAGAGAAGAUUGGUCAGGACAAGUACAAGGAAGAGAGAUAGAGGGCAGAGGGCAAAAAACGACUUAGGGAAGAACAGAGGCCCUAGGUGGGCCCACCAAGCUAGGCUGGAGAGCAAAAGACCCUAGCUAGCAGAGAAGAGGAGACCAAGCAGUUAUUGACACACAGCUGGGAAGGUCUGCGUGGCCUUGGCAUCACCAUGUGAUGCUCCUGUAACAUACCCUGUCACACCUACCUUCAGCCUAGGUCACUCAUCUGAGGAAGCACAAGGCGAUCGGAAGAUGUGCCCAGUGAGUGCGGCCAUGCGUCCCUGUGUCCCUGCGAAGGCUGCUGGGCUUUCUGAGCUUCUGCAGGAAGGAGGGCUGGGCGGAGCUGACUCUGAGGCAGGAGGGGAAUUCCCCCAUGAUGGAGAAGCCAGCCACCAGGCAGCCCCACAAGGCCGAGCUGAGGCCCCAUCCCACCCUCUGGCAGAGCAGAGGGCCCUUUGCCAGCCUCCACCUGUUGCUCCCCAGGCUGCCUGUCACUCGUGGUAGAUUCCAGGAAGGGAAUCUCUCUUGGGAGGAGAGCUGAGAGCCUGUUGGUUCCUGAGCUGGGCUGGGACUAAAGCAAAGGCAGGUACAAGGGCAUAGGCCACCUGGGCUGCCCUGCUGGGAUGUCCUGGAGAUCUGUUUCCUCUUUCGUCCAAAGUGGGGGAUUCCAGUGUGCAUGGCCUUGAGGAAAUCUCCAGGCAUCCUGCUCACAUACUCCUGCCUUGUUCCUGCCUCAUCUGUUCCCAAAUAUCCUCUCCAGAGGAGGAAAGGUUUCUCGUUCUUUCCCAAAUGCUGAGUGUCAUUUGGAUGCUGAGUCACACCUGGAGAUCCAUGGCCCAUUCUGAACCUGCCGGCUGCAGUCUGAGCACACCAUUUCCUCCUGAGCCUUGUAUGAUGGUUAUUCUCUACGAUCAACUUCACUGGAUUUAAAAGUCUCGAGGCAAUACACCUGGGGUGUGCCUGUAAGGCCUUUUCCAGAGAGGUUUUCCAAGAGAGGGAAGAGCCACCUUGAGGGUGGACAAUACUGUCCAGGGGCUGGGGUUCCAAACCGAAUGAAAAGGGGGAUCAAGAGAAGGUUGUUCAAGCACUGUUUUCUGCUUUCUCUGCUUCCUGAUCCAUCAGAUGUGAGCAAGCAGCCGAAUGCACCUGCCACCACAGCCUAGGGCCAUUCCCACACUACCAGGCCUUCCUACCCGAGUGGACUGUGUACCCUCAAACUGGGAGCCAACAUAAACCCCUCCUCCUGAUACUGCUUGACAGUCUUUUGUCACAACAAUGACUGCUAACACAUGCACGUGUUAUCCACCUCCACCUUGCUCACCCUCACACCCACUGCAAAGUGGGAAACUGAGUCCUCCUCUGUCUGCUUUAUGCAACUGUGCCAGAAGCCAAAAGAUGCUUUGCAGACAUACCUUGUAAACCACUGACUAUACACAUAAGGUCACCGACCGCCGUUCACUACCUGCCACAAAAAUGCCUGAGAGGAUAGGAAGAGGUCACCUGGGUGAGAGAGACUUUCUUGAUUAUUCCUUGUUCAGAACUGUCCUAUCCAAUUGACUGACCAUUAUCCACAUAUGGUGGAUCAAAUGUAAACUAAUUAAACUCAAAUAAAAGCAAUAAUUGAGGAGCUGAGGAGAUAGCUCAGUGGGUAAA